UAAAAAAAUCUUCAUUAUUCAUGCAACUAGCAUACCACAAGAUCUUCAAAAACAACCAAAAACACUUGCACUUGGAAAAUCCAUGUACUCAGUAUUGUAAGACACUCUAGAUAAGAGCAUUUGAUAACAUGACUGAGGAGUUCCAGCGGUCUAUGCCACUGCCCCCGGCACACAUACGUUGCAGGGUGGGUUUGAAUAUGGCGUGAAAAAUGCCUUAAAAUUCGAUUGAAAAUCAAUAAUAAUGAGAAUGUUGCCUGUGACGAAAGCAAGUCUAUUUACAGAACUAUUUGUCUCUAAUGGUGCUCUAUUCGUGGACUUGCCUACUAAAAAAACAUUUUUGAUUGUCUAAAGUAAACCCCUCAUGUGCAGUAUAGCAGUCUGCGAUUUCAUUACUCUGUGGUACACUCAGGGGGACUAAGACACUGGUUGGGAAGCACUGGCCUACAUCUAGCUGAAGGCCGCGCGCAACGGGGUUGUGUAGUCAUACAGGAGGCCGCGCGCAGUGGAGACAGUCUAACAAAUCUUAUUUUACGAGCAAGUAAUUUAGGCAUAAAUAAUGUUUUCAGUGCAGCUUGCAUAUUUCCUGACCUACACACAUGUCAAUAAUUCAGAAAGCCUAACUGUAUGCGCGGCUACAGCAGAGGGAAAUCUCCAGGAUUGGUGAAGGCUGCAACAGCUCGGCUACGUUUAAAGCUCAGUCGCUACGGGUGCCCGGUAGCUUCACAGCGCAGACUAGAAUGCACAGAUGAACAAAAAGAGGACAAACAAGUGUAACUCAUCCACCCCCAACUUCCCCCCACAUCUCCACUAGGCUCAGGCUGAGCCCCUUUAUACUGGGAUGAACGCGGGGCCACCCGCCCAGUGAGUGUGUGUGCCUGAGGAAUGUCCUCCUCCGAAAAAAUGGGAUGAGUCUUGCUUCGUAACCACGCCGCAUGCACAAACUGGAGUGACUGCAGCUUCAAGUAAUAUACUUUUGCUGGAAUCAUUUUUAAAGGUUAGACAGAGCAGAACUGACCUAACAGUGCAAUACACAUUUCAGACUUUUGUUCAAAUAAAUGCACUCUCAGAAUGAAAAGAAGGAUUUUCAGAUUGUUCCUUAGGUAAAAGUUUCAAAAAUGUAACGCCAAAUAUUUUGCAACAUGUGAACAACACCUGUAUUGUAAUUUGGGAGGAAAUUGGAAUUCCAAGUCUGUCAGCACUGAUUAUAGAUACAAGUUAAAAUAGAUUAAUCAUCUUUCAGAAUAUCCUG
rnacentral:lncRNA from 1 species